rnacentral:rRNA from 1 species
ACGGCUCAGUAACACGUGGAUAACCUGCCCUUGGGUCCGGCAUAACCCCGGGAAACUGGGGAUAAUUCCGGAUAACGCACAUAUGCUGGAAUGCUUUAUGCGUAAAAUGGAUUCGUCUGCCCAAGGAUGGGUCUGCGGCCUAUCAGGUAGUAGUGGGUGUAAUGUACCUACUAGCCAACAACGGGUACGGGUUGUGAGAGCAAGAGCCCGGAGAUGGAUUCUGAGACAUGAAUCCAGGCCCUACGGGGCGCAGCAGGCGCGAAAACUUUACAAUGCGGGAAACCGUGAUAAGGGGACACCGAGUGCCAGCGUCAUACGCUGGCUGUCCGGGUGUGUAAAAUACACCUGUUAGCAAGGGCCGGGCAAGACCGGUGCCAGCCGCCGCGGUAACACCGGCGGCCCGAGUGGUGAUCGUGAUUAUUGGGUCUAAAGGGUCCGUAGCCGGUUUGGUCAGUCCUCCGGGAAAUCUGAUAGCUUAACUAUUAGGCUUUCGGGGGAUACUGCCAGACUUGGAACCGGGAGAGGUAAGAGGUACUACAGGGGUAGGAGUGAAAUCUUGUAAUCCCUGUGGGACCACCUGUGGCGAAGGCGUCUUACCAGAACGGGUUCGACGGUGAGGGACGAAAGCUGGGGGCACGAACCGGAUUAGAUACCCGGGUAGUCCCAGCCGUAAACGAUGCUCGCUAGGUGUCAGGCAUGGCGCGACCGUGUCUGGUGCCGCAGGGAAGCCGUGAAGCGAGCCACCUGGGAAGUACGGCCGCAAGGCUGAAACUUAAAGGAAUUGGCGGGGGAGCAC